rnacentral:rRNA from 1 species
AUUGAACGCUGGCGGCAUGCUUUACACAUGCAAGUCGAACGGCAGCGCGGGGCAACCUGGCGGCGAGUGGCGAACGGGUGAGUAAUAUAUCGGAACGUACCCAGAAGUGGGGGAUAACGUAGCGAAAGUUACGCUAAUACCGCAUACGAUCUACGGAUGAAAGUAGGGGACCGCAAGGCCUUAUGCUUUUGGAGCGGCCGAUAUCUGAUUAGCUAGUUGGUGAGGUAAAGGCUCACCAAGGCGACGAUCAGUAGCUGGUCUGAGAGGACGACCAGCCACACGGGGACUAGGACCCGCUCCGGGCCCCUCGGGGGGGCCCAGUGGGGAAUUUUGGGCCAAUGGGCGAAACCUUGACCCAGCAAUGCCGGGUGAGGGAAGAAGGCCUUCGGGUUGAAAAGCUUUUUUGUCGGGGAAAAAACGGUAGAGGGUAAUACCCUUUGCUAUGGCGGGUACCUGAAAAAAAGGCCCCGCCAACCUCGGG